UCCUGGGACAGUUGGAGGAAUUGGGAUGCGGUCCGUCGGCUGAGUGUGGAUCUCACAAACAUCGACAGGACGGUCCAGUCCCGCGAUUCUGGCCGGUGGAGCUUCAAACUUUACAUCCACCCAGCUGACAUGGAUUAACUGGAGCGGAGGAAGUCAGUUUCAAGUCCAGGCCCCUUCCCAGCCUGUGGUGGCCAGACGGUGUCAUGGCAUCCCGGCUGCUGGACCGUCUGAAGCGCUCGCUGUUUAAAGAUGGCCAGGGGGCGGGACCUGAGCAGGAAGAAAGUGGUGGACAGGAAGAGGAGGGGCUUAACGAGGACCACUGGGAGGCCGAGCUGGAGGAGGAGGAGGAGUGCGUGACCGAUCGGCUCGGAGGGACGCUGUGCUUCGACAGCGGAGGAGGAGGGCUGGAUGAUGGAGCAGAGGGCGAGGGUUCAGGACUAGACAGCGACUCUGACUUCCUGGGAGAGUCGAUGGAGGAGGGCAUCAGCAGCACAGACACCAGUCCGAUGGGCGUGUCUCCACUGGGCCCCUCCCCCUCCUCACUGUUGACUCGUCAGCUUCAGGAAAGCUGGAGGACCCUGCGUGGACUCGGAGGAGGAGGGAGUCCCGUCCCCUCUGUAGGACGGCAGACGGACAACUUGCUGUUUGAAGUGACCGAUGCUAGCGUGGUGCAGGACAGCUCCUCAAAAUAUGUGCUGUACACCAUCCACGUGAUCCAGUCAGGUGGUAGUGAUAAAACUCCAGCCAUCAUCACCCGGAGGUACUCUGACUUCCAGCGGCUCCAUGCCACUUUGCGCCGUAACCAUGGAGACCAGAUGGAGCGCGUCUGUUUCCCACGGAAAAAGCUGCGCAGGAACUUCACAGCGGAGACAAUCGCUAAGCGUAGCCGGGCAUUUGAACAGUACCUGUCUCACCUGUGUUCCUUGUCUGCCCUGAUGGGUGCACUGUGUGUCCGCCAGUUCUUCUUUCUAACUGACCUGCAGACUGGACAGCUGCUCAUCAGGGUGGGACGUUACCAGGAGGCCUUGGGUCCGCUGCUCAAUGCCAAGAGACUGCAGCAAAAACUGGGCUGGGCAUGUUCCCAUGACAACCAGACCCCUCCUCCAGCCUCCUCCCAUUGGUUCUUCACCCUGGUGGGACUGUCAUGCUGCUUCCAGGAGGUGGACCAGCUGGAAGAAGCAAGGGAUCACUGUGACCACGCCCUCCGUGUUCUGACCCCCGUUGAGACUGAGGAUAAGCCCCUGGCACCUGACAACAGCCCCCUCCCACCCGACAAUAACCCCCUCCCACAGACUGACGCCUCACCUGUGCAUCUGCAUAUUGACCAGCCCCACCCACUGCUGCUGCCGUUGCUGCGUUCGGUGGUUCGGCUGUCGUGGCAGACAGGAAGAGACAAGCGCCAGUGGGAGGAGCUUCUGCAGCACCUGGAGGAGCAGAGGGCGGGGCUAGACAAUCUUCCAACGAUCAAAGAGUUUCUGGUCAAACAUAACCUGCAGGAGAGUGAGGGUGAAGCCUAGAGCAACGCACACACUGCACAGUACAAUCACCAUGCAGUGCCACUUGCUGAGCAGCAGAGGUCGCCGUGCUUCAGCUCAUGUUGGUGUGAUGACGCAGAGUCAGAUCGUGGUGGCAGUGGGCUAAACGGGUCUUUCAAGAUGCCCCUCUCUCCAGCAAGGUUUUCCGUUUCUUCCUGGAGGAUCCAAAAUCGUUCCCAGGCCAGAUGAAGUAAGUUAUCCUAUAGAGUUUUUUGUCUACACCGGAGUCUUCUCACAGUUGCCCGGCAAACCUCCAAAUAAAGGAACCCAGGAAAAAUCCUCAUCAGAUGCCUGAUCCGUCUCAGCUGACUCCUUUCCAUGUGAGACAUUGAUACAUACAGACCAUAAUGACCACAGGUGAGGGCUGAAACAAAGACUGAUUCAUAAAUCAAGAGGUUUACCUUCUGGCUCAGCCCCCUCUUCACCACGACUGUGCGGCACAACCCCCACAUUAAUGAAAUGUCACAUCUAUCCAUCUUCCAUUCCAUUUUCCCAUCAAUCAUGAACAAAUCUUGAGAUACUUAAAUUCCCUAACUUUGGGCAGCAACUCACCACCAACCCAAAGAGAGCAAUCCAUCAGUUUUCAGCAGAGAACCAAGACCUCUGACUUGGACGACAACGGCCACCUUGGCUUGUUGGUUGACUCCUGGCAUCACAGACUGGUUUUAAAGUUGUUACCAGCUCUACCUAAGUGGGAUUCUUUGCCUCUAAAUUUCUCACAUGGUUUCAUUUCAGUGAAUAUUCAAAUGAUCUAGUAUCUCAGCAAAAAUAAAAGAUUAGAGGAAAAGUCAAAAAUUGGAAAAACAGUUUCAGAACUUAAGUUUUGCGUACCACUCCCUUUAGUCAUGUGAUAAGCUCUCAGAUUUACCUGCUUUCCUUGUAUAGAAAGCUGAAUAAAGUUGCUCAAACUAGCUCCACCUGCAGCAGCUACAACAGUAACAUGCUGCUGACUCACUGAGGCUUCACAACUAGUAAUCUAAUAAUGCCAGAUAUAAAAAUACAUCAAUAAGAGGGACCAAGCCAGUACUUUUGCUCAAAUACUUUACCUACCUUUUGCUUAUAUUUACUUUUACUUAAGUAGGAUUUUUCAUGUCGGACUUUUACGUGCAGUGAAGUAUUUUUUACGUUUAUCUGUUUAACUUAAGAAAUGGUUUGAAUAUUACUUCCACCAGUGGUACAAAUGACUGAUCCCAGGGGAAAAAAAACUAAAUAAUUAACCCUUUAUUGAGAACAACUAUUACUGCAAAAUAAUUUCCUUGUGAUUUUGAGAUAAAGACUGAAAAUAUGUAGUCACUAUAGUUCUGAUUACCUUCAGUGUAGCUUUCAUAAUUAUUUAAUUAUGUUAAGGAAACUGCUGUUGGCCCGAAAACGGCCUGCAAGUUCCUGCAGGGGAAAACAACAUAUACUCAGUAUUCUCAAUUUUGAUCUAUCUACAAAAAGAAAAAAUAUUUAUCUUGGUAUCUCCAGAAGAAAAUCAGGUUUGUUUAAGAUGAGUAACUCUUAAUAAAAGACAACUGUAUUGGUGCCUUACAUCCACCAUUUAAAUCAAGAAUCAAAAUUUGAAUAAAGAUUUAAUUGCAUCAUAUGUUCACAAAUCUGUGUUUAGAAGUAGCCGGGUAUGGGUUGUCAGAAAGAGGACGUAUGGUUUAUUUUUUUUUAUUAAUCUUAUAUACAGACAUUUACAGCAAUCUCUGCUAGAAUUAUUACAUAUAAUUAUGGUAACGUUGGUAAAUAAUUAGACGCUGUCCAGUUGUAGUUCCAGUCUGAGAGAAUAUAAAGUGUACAGUAGAUAUGUAUUUGUGAAGAAGAAGAAGAAGCAGGGUCGUCAGUUCAAAACAUAGUUCAGCAAUCAUUUCUCCUGCAAUUCAACUGUAAUAAAAUCACAAUAAAAAUGUCCCCAAAUCCCUUUGCUUCCACUUGAUCAUAAUAGUGGGCUGUUCCACAUGAGAUGAUGCUGUAUAUUUAAUAUUUAAAUCUUUUUCUAUGAGACAGAAAUCCACUGAUACCACCUUCGCCCUGCAGAUACAAAUGAUGCGUGGCCCAACAUGAAGAGGCGAUCUGAGGGGGCACAGUUUGGUGAGCAGCUUCUCUCCACACCACUUGAUUCUUUUUUGGUUUUCAGUAUGGAGGAAGCACAGCUCUGUGUAUCUCAAGUUCAAACACCAAAUGACAAAUUAUGAUGUAACAAUAUUUUUGGGGAUUUAUUCUUAAGGGACCACAUCAGCUCUAAAUUAUUAUUCUUUGAUGGCAUUAUUAGCACAAUGAAUCCGCACCGCUAAAUGAUAAACUUUCGAAUCCACUUUGGGACAAUGUGCAACAAACGGGAACACUUUCCACUAAAGAGUAAACUCAUUUAACCUCAUUCUUCUUUGAGAUAAAGCAGCAUUAGAGUAUUUAUGUGUGCUUACAGUUCAGAUUAAGAUGUGGGAUAUUAUUAGCCUAGCUUAGCACAAAGGUAGAAGGUCAAGGGAAACAGCUAGCCUAGUUUCAGAUCUCUGAGUCAGGUCUGGUGUUGUUCAUUAGCUGGGUUUUCAUCCAAAUGUAGAGCGAAGUUUUUAAAUAACUGGCAAACAAAAAUAUGAAUUUCUGUCUGUUUCUAUUCACAGCAAGUAAUAAAGGUGAUUAAAUACAUUUAUUGCAGGUCAUUGUACUCUGUCUUUGGCCAACAAAUGUUGCCUCAUGAUGACAAAAUGAAGUACAAAUUACAAAUAUGUUGGAACAUCGUCACUGAUUUCUCAGUAACAGAAAAACAUCUGACAUUUUGAUCAUUUAAUGCGCUUUUAAACAGAAACAAAAUAAAUGUCAAGCAGUUAGGUUCUGCCCACUAUUUGAACUGAUUAUAAGCUUUAUGGAUGAGGCUAGCCGAUCGAAACCUUUUCGGGCCAUUUUUGAGUGAUUUUCGACAUAUUUUUGUAAUUUUGAACAAACUUUCAGUCAUUCUGAGCCAUUUAAACUCAUUUUAAACUAACUGCAAGUCUUUUAGGACAGGUUUUUGUCAAUUUGUUUGAAGUCCUCUGAAUAAUUUCAACUUAUUUUGUACAACCAGCCAUCCAAAUAAAAUGCCUUGCACCUGUCCUCAUAACGGUCACCGGGGGAUUCAGCUCAGCUUCAGAAAGUUAGACUCACACAUAAAAAUGAACCAGCAAAUGAAUAUGUUGGUUAUUAUGUCAAACGGUAAGUAUUCUGGAUAGCUAAUGCUGGUUGUGAAAUGUCUGUUCCAGAGCGCUAAUUUCUGUUUCGUUUAGUCAGACUGAAAACAAAAAAAAAUGCUGAUGUAAAAAUCAGAUUUAUUGGGAAAACUGCAGGGAGCUUGAGCUUUUUGUAUGCAGUUGUUUCCUUUUUUGUAUGUUGAAACAGUAUUUCUGGAUGUGUGUUGAUCAGUCUUAUGUCUUUGUCUUCUUCAUUAUUGCGCCUUGUGCUUCUCCCUUUGUCUUUUAAAGUUCUUCUGUUUUCCAGCCUGUUAACGGCAUGUCCCUCGCUGCUUCCCUCCACCUUGCGUCGUUGCUUUCCUUUCUGAUUUAUUUUGACGUUCUUAUUUGGAUUGUUGCUUUUCUAGGACUUUAGAAGUUUUACCAGAUGGUUUUGAUUUAUUGUUGUUCUGCCUCCACAGUAAGUUUAGCUCGACAUCUCAUUCCCAAAGUCUGCCGUGGAGGUUAAGAUUGCAAAGUUUGAUGAUUUAUCUUUUAAUUGGUGAGCUUUGCAGAUGUUGGUGGGUGUAUUCUGUUGUUCUUUGGACAGAACUUUCGCUCAUCUUCAUGCUAAGCUCAGCUAAUCAUGUUCUGACACAGGUUUAUACGUAAGUGAAUAAUGAUGCUAAUUUGAAGGCUGCUGUCUGAUAACAGUUCUGAUGGAAAAGCUUUGCAAAUGCAGUAAUAAGUCUUUUUUUUUUUGUCUUUUAGCAGUUGAAAAACCCUUAAAGCACAUGAGUUGAAUUAGUUACUUCUCUAUCAAAACUGCAAAUUUAGUUGUGGAAUUUCCUGGCAGUAAUAUUUAGGUUUUCCCAUCAGGUUGAAGCAGGUUGUGCUCACAUUAUUCGACCCAGAUCGCAGCCCAGACUUCAUGCAGAUGUUGCAGCAGCUGUUUUCUGGUGAGUGUGAAUUAUUAACUGACCUAUUUUGCUCUACAGGGGAAACAGUUUGUCACAAGGUAACGUGCAGUCGAUGCAAGAGUGGCAAGAUCCUCCUCUUCCUCCUCACAGCCUGAGAGUCAGCAUUGCGGUCAGACAGGCUAACAGGACCGAAGGUAAGGAUACUGAAGCAGCGUUCAUCGAUGCUCUGGUGUCCUUGUGUAUUAUUCGUGUUACGCCUGCCUCCCUUUCUGCCGCCUUGCUCACUGUAGUUUCCUUUCUCUUCUCCGGCUCCACCUUCUCUUCCUCCUCCACCCUUUCUUCCACCUCUUCAUCUUUUCCCAGUGUUGCUGAGGGAGUUUCAGGGACUUUGGCAGUGGUGGUGGUUACUGUGGUGUCUUUAGAGAACCGGCCGAAGAGGGUGGUGGUGAUACUGGGAGCACUGUCAGUGGUGGCAGGCUGGACAGGGGGGUCAGCUGUUCCAGGAGGAUUAGUUUCUGGAGGCUGGAGGGAGGGAUCAGGUGUCACCUCCUCUUCAUCCUCUUCUUCUUCAUCUUCAAUGUCUUCCUCCACCAUGUCAGGAACUUGAAAACACAAAAGAAAAGUGCAUCAAGACUUUAAAGCUGCAGUUAAGGGUUGUUUUCAAGUAAUUAAAUGAUUUUUUCCUAAAAAUUUCCUGUUACAACUUCUCUUGGUGUCUUCAAAUGUCUUGAGCAUUCCGAAUAGCGGUUCAGAACUUGGAUCAGUUUACAAUGCUAUGGAGGCGACUUAUUCUAUACAUUCCUACAGUACCUUUUCUCGCCCUCUAUCUGAAAGUUCUGUUUUAGCUCCUGUCUCUUUAAGGCCCCUCUUGACAAGCCCUUUCUGCUCUGACUGGUCAGCUGACCCAACAAAAGCCAUGUAACAUUGGUUAAGUACCAUAAAGUCAGAUCUAUGAGUAUAAGCAGAGAGAUGUAGCUCCAUCAGAAGCAACUCCAGUGAGGAAAUGACGGCAUACAGAAAGGCAGCUGCUAAUUCUUUGAGGGACAAACUAGCCGCUCUGUAGGCAUUAUGUAAAUGGGCUACAUGGUGACAUAAAUAAGUAACACAAGAAAAGACUGGACCUCAGAUGAGGCAUUUCAGAGAACUAACUCUGGCAUUGAAAGGGGAAACCUGAAAAAGCUGUAUAUGGGCUCUUUAAAACAACAUGUUAAACAGAAGAUACCUAAAAGCUUCUGACUGAUUUAAAACAUCUAGCAAGAUUAAAAAAUGGAUUAUAAAAGAGACUGGUGGCUGCAGUGGUCAGCACUUUGACUCAAAGCAGGAAGGUUAUGGAUUCCUUCUGUGUUGGCUUUCUCCCACACUCCAGAGACAUACAUGGUAGGUUAAAUGCUAAAUGUGACCCUGCAUACACUUCUGUUUCUCUGUGUUAGCCCAUGUUUUGCCUAAUGGCAGCAGGUACACAGCAGUAAGCUGGAAUACAUAAUGGAUGGACAAAAACUGAAUGGAAAUGCAAAGUUUGUCAUUUUUAUUCUAGUGGGUAGAUGAUAAAAAAAAAGCUGAUUUUAUGGUUGAUUUGUUCUGUUGAUUUGUUCUCACUACCUGAACUGAGCUAUGAAUCUAGUUUACUAAACAGAUUUCUUUCAUCUGAAAAUUGGGAGGGAACAUUAAGUGGAAGGUCUGCAGAUGCUCCCCCCAUGAAAUUUUUUAAACUUAGUUUUCAUCAUUUUUAUGCAGCAACUUAUCUAUUUUCUGCAUCUGUUUAUGGUGGAAAUGUAUGUAAUCAUGUAAAGGAAACACAAAAGAAAGAUGUCUGCUUGCAGAAAUUAUUUUUGUGAACAAGUAAUCAAUAUAAAGAAAUGAUCAUUUCAAUUCACACGUUGGUGCUAUUCUGUCGUCAUGUUAUCUACUUUUGCACCUGGGUCAGUCAGGAAAUACGUUGCUGCACCAUCUCAGAUUUUGUCACCUUUAGAAAUGUGUUCACUGGAACUAAAAAGUAAGUUCUGUAAAAUAUUUUAGCUGAAUGUUAAGAAUUGUGAUGUUUUCAGACCUGGGAAAUUUUGUAUUUUUAUCCUUUAAAAAAGUUACCUGUGAAGCAACUUCCAGCACCAUGACAAUUUUCUGGUUGUACAAAUGAGUGAAGCUAGCCAUUUUGGCAUGUUAAAAUAAAAAAAUAAAUAAAAUCCUGGUGGGGCAUAUUUGCCACAUAUCUAAUUCUACUAAUAUGAUGGCCUCAAACACUUGCCUCUGGUUGGUGAAAAGUUGACCCAAGAUUGUAUUUUCAGUAGGACAUAUGGAUUACUUUUUGGACACUUACAGGAACUUUCUGGUGCCCCUGUACCACACUCAUUCAAAAAUGUUGUACUUUUUUCCAUUUUCAAGGGCCUACGAUUAAAAAUUAGAUAGUCUCUCCGGGUGAGAUGGUCUGAAAACAUCACAUUUUCAAGAUUAGGCCAAAACAUUGACAUAACUUAGUUUCGGUCCCAAAUAACAAUUAACUAAAUGCUGAACAAAAUUUGAGACGGUGAAACAACACUGAACUACAGAAUGGGCUGUUCAGAAGAGUGUUAAUGUUAGAUACAGAGCCUGACAUUGAGGUUUGAAUGUCAGCGCUGACUGUAAUUUCCUGUCAUGAACUGCAUGUUAGAGCAUACAAACUGCAGCACUUAUUGUGAACAGGUCCAAUGACAAGGCUGAUAGACUGAUCCUGGAAGAAGAAACGUCUUUUGCAGCAUCGACUCGCAUUGCUAAUUCUGUAUAGUCACAAAAGUGCAUUAUGGGUGGUAAAGAUGCAGAUAAACACAGAUCAGCAGGGACAGAGGAGUAAACAGAGCAUGUCCUACCACAGAGGUUGUUUUCACACUUCUGGAGGUUUUCUGGACAUCUGGAGCACCAGUCACCUUCAACAUACGGCCGCUGGUCUUCGUAGUUCCCCCUGAAGACACAUAUAUACACAACAUCACGCUGAUACAACAACUGCAGCUAUUACUAAUAUUAUGUACUUUAAUGUGUCCUCCUCCUGAAGUCAAAGAUAUAUAGAAUAAACACUGUUCAUAGAAUAUGAUUACUGUCCACAAGGGGGAGUGCUUGUUGUACUACUGUAGCAGCAGCAGUAGGAAUAGUACUAACGCUGGGUAGUAGUUGCAGACGAGGAAGGAGACUCUCUCCCAGUCCAAUCCCUCCAUACUGUUACAGAUAUGGAAGGCACAGCCGACUCUGUGUGUGUCCGCCCACACCAUCUGAAACACACACACACACACACACACUUCAAACUGAGGCAUCCACACACACACACACGGUGCCUAUGGAAAUUUCAACAACUGACGACUGAGUUUGGUUCCCCGGAAUAAAAAUUACAGACAUCAGCAACAUCAUUUUGACUAUUUCUUUCUAUACCUGUAACAACAUUUUAGCAGACAGAAUUCCAGGGUGAGAUAUCAACAGUGUCAUUCUGAUCAGUUCAAACCUAAUUUAGCACAGCUAUAAGGGCAAUACCGAUAUUAUGAAUCCAGAAGUAUUAAACAUGUCUUGAACUAGAAUUAUGACUAGCCAUAAUUAAUCUGUAAAAAUUUCAAAGUGAAAUUACCACUAGUCAUGAAUGCAGACACAGUAUCUGCAGUUCACAUUGUGGAUAUCUGCAGCUGUUUUUUUAGAUUUCCUUAAUGGAAAACACAUGAAGGGUAAAUGUGAUGUAAUUUGUCCUUGGAUGAAUGACAGUGUGCAUAUCUGAACUGUUCUGUUGACUGGAAAGAAUUUAAUUACAAAUAUCUGCAAUAUCUAGCUAUGCAAUCUUAAAACAACUUGCCAUAGAUAGUUUAAUUCUAACUAGUCACAAUCCUAAUUCAAGUUAGCUUUAACUCUACUCAAUGCAUUGUCCCUUAUAGAAAUUUUAGAAAGUAUCUGAACCAGUCAGAAUCUCAAACUGGAAUUCUGUCUUAUCAGAAUGUAAUUAUAGGUCACAACUUUAACCACAAGUCCCGGGUGAAUGAAGCUCUCGUUCUUUACAAUCUCCCCGCUGAUGAGCUCUUCCUAUGUCACAGCCUUUUCUAAAAACAGCCUUCAUUACUUUUGCUAACACUGUUCAAAUGCUUUGCUCGAUCAAUAUCUAAUCGGAAGCCUUGCGUGCGCAACAAUUCGGACUGGGCAUAAGGAGGCUUCAGAUCUUUAACUAUUACUGUGAACAGGUUCAGACACCUCUAAGUGUAAUUUUAACUGCUCAGAGUGGCAUUCAAGAUAUCUGUAAUGUUAGUUUUCAGAUCACAGUCACAUUCCUUUGUGUCUGACCUGUGUGUAGUGUCCACACAUCUUGUCUUCAUCACAGCUGUUGUUCUGAAAGUCGUAGUCCAAGUGUUCUGCACAUAACAGAAUAGAUAGUGGAAGAACACAAUUAUUAAUACCACACUAUAGAAGUACUCCUAUGCAGAUAAAGGUUGUGUGGCUGUAAGGUACUAAAUAUCAAAAGUAAAAGCAUGCAUUAUACUAGUAAGAAUACACAGUUAAUAGACAAAGCUUAGUGGUAGUAGUAGUAGUUUUCAAAAGUGCUACAAUAAAAAGAGACUGGAUUCCUUUUUUGGUUCUUGAAGACAUUUCACCUCUCAUCUAAGAGACUUCCUGACUUCUAACUAGGAAGAUUCACAUGACACACAGUGUUAAUGGUGUUGAAACGGCCUGGUGGGGGAGGACUCAAGGUACAUGGUAAAUGUGGGGAAACUGCCUGUAAGUCCUUAAGAAGAAUAUAUCUGAAUCUGAAGGUCAUCUAUGUUAAACUAGUACAGCCGUGUCUAAACAGGAGAAGGGGUCUCCACUUACCACGUACUUAUAGUGCUGUCCUAAGAUCCCUCCCCAGGCAGUUCUACCCCAUUUAACACCUUGAGUCAUUUGAGUCUCUAGUAGUUAACCCAGCUAUGUUGUUUUUUGGUAAAAAUGAAUACCAGGGACUCCCAACCCUUCUGUUAGAACUGGAGAAGCCUCAUGGAUGAGAGAUUAAACGUCAUUAAGUACCAAAAAAAAUAGUCCAAUUGUCUUCUACUGCCACACUUAUAACAACCAAGACCUGGACAACUGAAAGUCUACACAGACAGUUCCAGUAUUUACAAGGAAAAUCUCCAUUAAAACAGUAGUCUGCUGUUUGGUGUACAACAAAUAAAGACUUCUACAUUGACUCACCCAGGAACCAUUUCUCCAGAGCCACUCGGAGGUCCAGAGGCCCAGUUCCGGCAAACAGGUUUUCUCCGGUGUCCUCCAGCUCUGGAUUGUGGUUCCAGAUACAUUUUGCAGCGUAGCCCUCUGCAAGCAACUUCAUGCUAGGGUCCCACUUCUGCAGAAAACCAAACAAAGUAAUUAAGAACAAAGUUUUGGAUUAUUUUCCCUAAGAAAAUCCCUUAUGCUUCAUGGGAUCAGAAGGAGAUAUUUUCUGCAGGUUCGGGACGUUUCAGGUUUUAAGGAUUUCAUGCUUUCAUAGCGCUUCAACACAAGAGCUUAUGGAGCAACAGAAGAAACCCGCUGACUGGUGACUGACAAUGAAAACACCCUCUGGAAAUUUAGAAGGUGAACCACAAGAAUAACCUUCAGAUUUCAUCCCUUUUUAACAUGUCAGCUGGCAGCCAAAUCUUUGCAGGCCGCAGUGGAAACCGAUAACAACAAAGUGAUGAAGGAAGUUUUGGUCCUUUGAAAGCCCGUCGAUGUUUUGGUGGAAAUGCAAGUCAUGCUGUUUUGUCAAAGUACAAUGAACAAUCACAAAAUGAACUUGUUUGCAGUUGCAAGUUUUUAGAAAUGGCAGUUGCAUGAAGAGAAAAAACACCAUAUCACCCUAGAAGCUUGUACUUCUAUGGUGCUACACCUGUCAAAUGGCCAUUAUCAGUUCUUAAAACGUCCAAAACAAAGACAAAAAGGCACUACUAAAAGUUCUGCAGUUCAUUCAAAUGCUUUCAUAAAUGUACUGACACAUUUUUCAUAUUCUUAGAUCCCUACACCAGUUUCCUGUUAUACACAAUUGAAUUUAAGAACUCGUGUAUUGUUUAUAAAUCUUUGGUACAGGCCCAAACUGGUUGGAGAGAUGUUUGUGAAAGCCAGGUCUCUCAGAUUUGCUGGGACUAGCCAUUUAGUGGUGCCCAAAAGUUCAGACUUUUUGUUUUAUUUUAUUGUAAACUUUUUCUUAUGUGCUUUCAUUUUUCUCAUCUUCUGUCCACUGUUUUGGUCAUCAUUUUAAAUUAUUCUGUAAGAUUUUGCAAUUUAUAUAACUUGUCUGUGUUUUUUCUCUUUUUUGAUUUAUCUAAUUCAUUUUUUUCUGCUAUAUUUUGUAUUUUAUCUUCAUUUAUUCGUUUUUACCUUUGCCUAUAAAUCACUUUGAAUAAACUUUGUGUAUGCUGGGGAGCUAUAUAAAUGAGCUUGCUUGCUUUGAAUAAUUUCUCCACAACCCCAUUCAACCAAUGUUAUGAUCCUGCUCCAGCCCCUGCCUUUCUUUCCCCUUCUUCCUCUUUUUCCUCCUUUCUCCCUUGAGUCCUGAUUUGUUUCUGCUUUGACCUGUCUCUUUAGCUCCCUCUAUCUGUCUGUCUCCAUUGUUUCACUCACCUGCCUGCACCUGGCUGAUUGCAGUAAUGCACAUCAGCUGCAGCAAUUACCUCACUCUUUUCACCUGUUCUCUACUUCACCUCCUGCUAUUUAAGCCCUGUGCUUUCAUUCACUCCCCGCCGGAUCAUCGACCCACAUACCCUCAAAGACUCACAUCUUCUCAUGGACUCAGGACGUUCUUUUGGAUUUGCUUCCCCACCUUUUUGGACUCCGUUUUCCCCCCUCCUGGAUUUUUUUUCUCACACAUGGACUCAGUUCUCCUCCCGGUUUCUCGUCAGCUCUGCUUCAGUGUCCAGCCAGUUGUUCCUACCUCAUCCCCAUUUUCCCCUGGAUUACCUCAGCCUGUUUUCCCCUCUGUAGUCAGUUCCCCCAUCUAGUGAGUACCCUCCUUAAUUUAGUUUUGUAAAUUCAGUUUAGUUUUGGUAGACUUCCAUUUUGGUAUUCAUAGUGUUUAUUGUCAAGUAUUGAGUUGUUUGGUUUAAUUCUGUCCUCUCAGUUCAGUUCUCCUUUUAUGUAUUGGUUUGGUAUUUGGAUUAAAUAAAUCUAUAGCCUUUA